CUAAAUGUCAUCCACGGGAACCAGAAAAGAACAUUAACCACCAUCCUAUCUAUUUUUUUUUAAAUGCAGUAACAAGAAAGAAAUAAAAAUGCAAAACCAAGUAGCAUUGAGAAGCAACAUGACAAAAGAUGGCCAGCUCAAACACCCAUAAGCUAAGUAAUCAUUCCCAAAAUGUAAAAUAAUACCAGAAUCCAGAGCAAUAGAAAACCAUAGUUCAACAUUGUACAAGACAAUGCAUCUUGCUUUCAUUGAACAGUUCUUUUGAGUUGAUGUUAAGCAUCAAAUCUAUGCCAUCAGAAUUCCCUUACCAAAAGGUUCACACACGCAAUACAUGGCUAUCAAAAAUUCCCAAAUUGAAAAUGCAUCAAGUAAUACAAAUACCCAGAUAAAAGAU
rnacentral:misc_RNA from 1 species